rnacentral:lncRNA from 1 species
CUCGAGUUCGAGGGUUUUGAGUCGCCUCUCUUUCUCUCUCGAUGAAUCUCUCAUUUUGGCUCCAUUCUUGAGUGAUUUUCAGAACUCUUUCUUGAGUUAAUCCAUGAUAUGUUAUAGAUCUCCAACCUGGUGAACUGCCGUGUUGAGUUCAUGGAAACCUGAGUGGUUUCAUGUGAUGUGCUAUCGGGUUUGAUGAAAUCUUGGUGAUUUCUUGUGUUUCCUGUGUGGAAUAGCUUACAUAUUGUAUAAUGACUUGUGAAGUCAUGUGAUUCUUGGAUGGCAGUUCCUGUGACUUAAUUGUCUGAGUGAUCUGUUCGUGGUUUCUUUGUGAACCGUGGUCUGCCUUGGUGAAUCCUUAUGAGAUAAGUCUUUGUGACUUGUAUAUUGUAAUAUUCUGAAACAUUGUAUACUUACUGCUUGAUUUUGGGGGCC